rnacentral:rRNA from 1 species
AUUGAACGCUGGCGGCAGGCCUAACACAUGCAAGUCGAGCGGAGCGGCGGACGGGUGAGUAAUGCCUAGGAAUCUGCCUGGUAGUGGGGGACAACGUCCGGAAACGGGCGCUAAUACCGCAUACUAUCAGAUGAGCCUAGUUCGGAUUAGCUAGUUGGUGGGGUAAAGGCCUACCAAGGCGACGAUCCGUAACUGGUCUGAGAGGAUGAUCAGUCCCAUUGGGACUGAGACACGGCACAGACUCCUACGGGAGGCAGCAGUGGGGAAUCUUCCGCAAUGGACGGAAGUCUGACGGAGCAACGCCGCGUGAGUGAUGACGGCCUUCGGGUUGUAAAGCUCUGUUAAUCGGGACGCGGUACCGGAAUAGAAAGCCACGGCUAACUACGUGCCAGCAGCCGCGGUAAUAC